CUUUGCCUCUGAGAAGAACAGGGGGGUUAGUGCCAUUGCUGAUGCACCUGAGCUGGAGGGGUGGGAGAUUUUUCUAUGCCAAAGUAAAGCAUUUCCGAGAGGGUCCCCAGAUGGACCUGCCAGGUCAAGGAGAUGUUGCCAGCGUUUGUCUCAGGCUUUGUACUACCCAGUAACAUGCAUUUUGCAUUCCCAGGUCCAUGCUGCAGGUGGGAUAGGUACCUCAUCCUGUGCCCAUCUCUUGCCUGGCUGCUUGGGCUGUCUGCACACUCCAGCCAGAGCUGCAAAGAGCAAGGUGCCUGUUCUGCAGAAGGAGCAGUCACAAGCUCCUGCCUUCAUGGACCCCCGUGGUGCCACACUGCAGGGGAAAGCAGCCCCAUGGUGUAUAGUUGCUGCUGCCAACUUGCUCUGCUCCCUCCAUCCCAUGCCCCCCUUGCUGUGGGGGUCCAUAGGGGUUAGCUGAGCAGGACCCACACAUUAGCAAGUCUGUGUCACUUCUGCUCUUUGAAUGAAAUCUGGAAAGAGCCA